rnacentral:tRNA from 1 species
GCAUCUGUAGUUAAAUGGUUAUAAUGAAAGUUUUCCAAACUUUAGUUCACAGUUCGAUUCUGUGUAGGUGCACCA